rfam:Glycine soja cultivar W05 scaffold6132_17, whole genome shotgun sequence.
AGCCGUGUAGUGAAUACAAAGCGAACUAUUCUUUCGCCUUUUACUAAAGAAUACCGUGUAUUCUCUACUUUAAGCGGCAUACGCCUAUUUUUGGAAGAGCAUUCCUUUUGGAAAGCU